rnacentral:lncRNA from 1 species
CUGGUGAUUCGGUCCUGACUGGUGCUGGUAAUCAUUGCAAAUAUGUAAACAAAGACGAAAAUUAUGACUUUUGACGUUUUCUCGCAAAAAUAAUGGAUGGAAGGAAACUGUUGAGAUUAAUUUAUUAGGUUUCUUGUGGGUUCAGAGGCAAACCAUUAAAGAUGAGACUCUUUAAACUGUUUCAGCAGGCGUAACACAAAACUGCUCACUUUUAGAAAGU